rnacentral:rRNA from 1 species
UGCAUAUCAAUAAGCGGAGGAAAAGAAACCAACAGGGAUUGCCUCAGUAACGGCGAGUGAAGCGGCAAAAGCUCAAAUUUGAAACCCUCGGGAUUGUAAUUUGAAGAUUUGGCAUUGGAGAAAGCUAACCCAAGUUACUUGGAAUAGUACGUCAUAGAGGGUGACAACCCCGUCUGGCUAACCGUUCUCCAUGUAUUGCCUUAUCAAAGAGUCGAGUUGUUUGGGAAUGCAGCUCAAAGUGGGUGGUAAACUCCAUCUAAAGCUAAAUACUGGUGAGAGACCGAUAGCGAACAAGUACUGUGAAGGAAAGGUGAAAAGAACUUUGAAAAGAGAGUGAAAUAGUAUGUGAAAUUGUUGAUAGGGAAGGAAAUGAGUGGAGAGUGGUUUAGGUUUCAGCCUUCUUUCGAGGGGGUGUACUACCAACGCCGAGUCAUUGUCAGCGAGACAGGGGUUAUAAACGGGUUGCCUUCUGGCUUCUCACCUAACCCCUCCACUGCCGACAACGACUUAAUCCACCCAUUUCACCCGUCUUGAAAUACGGACCA